UACGUAGGGUGCGAGCGUUGUCCGGAAUUAUUGGGCGUAAAGGGCUCGUAGGCGGUUUGUCGCGUCGGGAGUGAAAACUCAGGGCUUAACCCUGAGCCUGCUUCCGAUACGGGCAGACUAGAGUGCUGUAGGGGAGACUGGAAUUCCUGGUGUAGCGGUGAAAUGCGCAGAUAUCAGGAGGAACACCGGUGGCGAAGGCGGGUCUCUGGGCAGUAACUGACGCUGAGGAGCGAAAGCGUGGGGAGCGAACAGG
rnacentral:rRNA from 1 species